UUGUCAACAUCAAAAGGAACAAUUAAAAGUACAAAUAGUAUAAACAUUCGAGAUUAGCUGAAGUAAACAUUCAUUGAUAGAUAAUGAUCUUUACAUAUUUGUAUUGUUUACAAAAAGUUGCCAACCAAACAAUACAACACUUGAUUCCAUUACUAAGCAUAAAAGAUAGACUAAAGUAGAAUAAGAUAAGGACUAAGUCAAAGAAUAACUAUUCCUCAUCAGAUGGGAAUUCUAUGAUGGGUUCAACUGGACUAGAGGAUG
rnacentral:lncRNA from 1 species